rnacentral:rRNA from 1 species
AGCGAACGUUAGCGGCAGGCUUAACACAUGCAAGUCGAGCGAGAAAGGGGCUUCGGCCCUGAGUAAAGCGGCGGACGGGUGCGUAACACGUGGAUAAUCUGCCCUUCGGUGGGGGAAUAACGUUCCGAAAGGAACGCUAAUGCCGCAUGUCACAACAAUGUCUCUGGACAAAGUUGGAAAAGGGGACGCCCGCAAGGGGUUCUCGCCGGAGGAUGAGUCCGCGGCCCAUCAGCUUGUUGGCGGGGUAAUGGCCCACCAAGGCGAAGACGGGUAGCUGGUCUGAGAGGAUGACCAGCCACACUGGGACUGAGACACGGCCCAGACUCCUACGGGAGGCAGCAGUGGGGGAAUAUUGGACAAUGGGCGAAAGCCUGAUCCAGCCAUGCCGCGUGAGUGAUGAAGGUCUUCGGAUCGUAAAGCUCUGUGGGAAGGGACGAAAAAGCCGACCUAAUACGUCGGAGCUUGACGGUACCUUCUUAGCAAGCACCGGCUAACUCCGUGCCAGCAGCCGCGGUAAU